AAUAUUGCACAAUGGGGGAAACCCUGAUGCAGCAACGCCGCGUGUGCGAUGAAGGCCUUCGGUUCGUAAAGCUCUGUCCUAAGGGAAGAUAAUGACGGUACCUUAGGAGGAAGCCCCGGCUAACUACGUGCCAGCAGCCGCGGUAAUACGUAGGGGGCAAGCGUUGUCCGGAAUUACUGGGCGUAAAGGGUGCGUAGGCGGCCGAUUAAGUCAGAUGUGAAAUACCACGGCUCAACUGUGGGGGUGCAUUUGAAACUGGUUGGCUUGAGUGCAGGAGAGGAAAGUGGAAUUCCUAGUGUAGCGGUGAAAUGCGUAGAGAUUAGGAGGAACACCAGUGGCGAAGGCGACUUUCUGGACUGUAACUGACGCUGAGGCACGAAAGCGUGGGGAGCGAACAGG
rnacentral:rRNA from 1 species